rnacentral:lncRNA from 1 species
AGGGCUUUUAUGGUGACUUUAAGUGUGCCGCUAAACCUAUCACUCCUAAUUGUCCUAUUUUGUACAAAAACGAAGUGAACGAAAAUAAACCCUAAAGUAACAAAUCUCCUCCUCGUAAAAUCUCUAAUUUGCUCCAUCUUCUCAACCCCAAAUCAGUCUAAACUUGCUCCUAACUGAAGAGGGUCACACACUAUCGAUGGUGAUCACGCUCUUUUUGGUCUCAUUAUUCGUCAAAUGGAGCGCUAACUUCCUUCAUCGUUUCUUCCUCUCUAGAUUUUGUGCUCUCUGCUCUGUUGAGGUGAAAAAUCUAAUCCUAUUUUUGUAUUGUGAUGCUUUACAGACUAUGCUCAUAUUCAGGAGAAAAGAUUACAUCUAAUGAGGAUUAGUGCAUUUUUGCGGCAUGAGAUUUAGGGUAAGCACGAUUUUUACCGAUUUUUGGUUAUUUAUUGUUGCAAAAGUGUAAAAUUAAGGUUUCGUCAUGAUAUGGGAUCUUCUUUUUAAUACAAUAUUUGCGCUCCCAAGCUUUAAAAUUAGUGGGUUUGAUAAUAUUUUGGAAAUUUUAGGGCUUUUGUACUUGAAUAACUCGGUACUCUGAAGCGUUAAAUUUUAGGUAAUUUUUGAAGCUUUUGGAAUGAUUCAAUGCUCAUUUCUCUUAGUUAUUGGUUGCUAAUAGCAUAUAUUUUAGGUCUCUGAGUGAGAACUUGCGUUAAGUUGCUUCGUUACUUUUUCGACAAAUGUUUUAAGAUAGAAAAGCAAAAUAGACUUAGAGGUUGGUCCACCUUGUAAUUGUGUAAAUGAAAAGAGAAUCUGGGAUAUUACAUGUAUUUGGUUAGUUGGUUUUCUAAGUAUUUUAGAUGUGCAUCUCAUCAGAUUGGUUGCUAAGUAAUUAAUUGGCCAAAUUGGAACCAACUGCUCUUUGUCAUCACCAAUUUCUGUUUAUUUGUUUAUUAAAUGGAUGCCACAAAAAGGUUAUUCUUACAAUCCUAAUGUUGCAAACAGGUUAUUCUUGGAGACAUUUUUACUUAUUGGUGAACUGCAUCAAAAAAUCUGAUAGAAUAUUCUUCUCAUGUUUAAUAUUACAAUAGCCUCCUCUUAAAAACCACCUCAUAAACUUUAUUCAAGUUUUUAUUCUUUUUAAUCACCUUGUAUUAGGUUUUAUCAUCGAAGUGUUGUUCUUUAAGGGUGUAGAAGUUGAAAAACUAGUUAUUGAAAGUUGUAUUGGUAUGUGAUUAAGUCGAAAGUAUUUUAUACUUGGCAAAGUAAAUCAUUUUUUGCUAUCUUUAAACCACAUUUCUUUCCUCGUAAUUUGUUUAUUUUUUUCCACGGAAAUUAUUUAUCUUAAGUUAGUGAGCAAAUAUUUCCAAAAGAGAUUGAUAUUUCAUCUUAUUAGAAACUAAUUAAGGUACAAUAACUUUGGUAGGAUGCAUUGUGGUUAAUGAGUUAUGAUAUUGAGAGCUAAGUGUCUAUUGUCUAGUUUGUUCUUAAAUAUUAGUCUUAAGCUCGUAUUAGAAUAGUGGUAGUGUGUUCUAGUUUUGUGAUAGAGAUAUUAACUAAGGAAAAGUAAGUUCUGUUUGACUUUAUCCAUUUGGUGUGGGUAAUUUGUGAUUUGAUUUGAUGAUUUUGUAGCUGCAUUUCCUCUGUUAUGGUAGAGAACCAGCUCUUUUGGUCUUACUUGUUUGUUUAGUAAUUCCAUUGUGUCAUCCGAUGAUGGAAAUUAAAAUUUAAAGAAUGGUUCAAGUUGUAAACAAAUGUUGAAGGCUACUGGAAACUAGUGAAUUGACCUAUAUAUGUUGGUCGGUUAAUAUAUAGAAUGAUCUAUAAAAGCUUUCUUGGAGAAAAAAGAAGAAAUAAGAACAUACCUGAAAAGAAAGAAAGGAAAAACUUUUUGGUAAUACACUUGGUAACUCUUGGCAUUAGUAGUGGUUGCUUGAAAUAUCUAGAAUUUAUAACAAGUGUUCAAAUAAAAAGUACUCUAAUUGAAACCACUUCACAGAACCUGCAUUUUAUUCCGUGCUAUUGGAUAAUCUAUAAGACUUUAUCUUUUGUUGUUAUUUUAGUUCAGUUAUUUAUAUUACAAAUAGUGGACAACUGUAGAGUAUAUUAAAUUAUCACACUAUUUGUUAUUGUUGUCAUAUAUCUGUAAUGAGUAAGUAGUUUGUUCAGCUAAAUCUUGCUUCUGCAAUUUAUAUUUUUUUCCCACCAUUCAGUGAUAUUCAAUAGACUUAAAGAUGUUUAAGUCGCAUGAGGUUGACAUUAUUGUGCACAGAAAAAGUGAUAGAAUUGAUAUUGCACUAUGAACACUUCAUCUCAUAGGACAUAAUUUUUCCUUAUAGGUCUUCUCUACAUACUUUAUCUCUGGAAUUUAGUUUAUGAGUUUCUUAAAGUGCACAUCUUAUUACAACCAAAGUAAUAUCAGAUUAAAGCAUGAAUGCAGUGAAAGGGAGUAACUUUAGUCUUCAUUUUGAUCGUGACUUUUAAAAAAUAUAUUAAUAGGAUUACAUAAUUCCAUUUUUAUGGUAUCAAAAUGUGUUGUCUAACAAAUCUUCCGAAAUUUCUUUUAUAAGUGGUAACAGAACUGUCCAAAGUGUGCACAAACGAUAAUGCCAUGCCAUCUUAUUGAACAUCAAAAAGGAGUUGCACGUGCGGAUACGCUAAUAUUAUUUCCUAGAGGUUUUGUUCAGGAUUUUUCUCGCACCUUUGACUGUAUUCCAGAAUACGAGAGAAAGUCAUGGUCUUCAAGAGGAAAUGAUUCUAGCCAAGGAGGAGCUCCAAGAUAGUUUAUUUUUAUAUUGUAACUUUUUUUGUGUUUCAUGUGUAUACACAAUUACUAUACAUUAUGAUUUUUGGUUAAUAGAAGUUCAUGUAUCAUUUUGUUUGAAAAUUAUCUUCAAUGGUGUCUCU